GCAGUUUGGUUUCUGUAAACUGCCUGAGAAAAAGGCAGGCUGGGGGCGGGGCAGGGCGUUUUGUUUGUCACUUCCUGGUUUGGGGUGGUUGUGUUCAGGAGAGGAGACUAGUGUGUGACCAGGUUCUUAGAAAGGUCCCAGAAUACACGCAGAUGGGGAGUUCUAGAAGGGAAAGGAGCCGGGCUCGGAGACACGCUCACCAGAUUGGCAUGGAUCACAGCGAUUCCCUCAAGCCUCCAUCUGCCUGGAAAUGCCUAGUGGUAUAUUCCCCCACAGUCCAGAACCUUCAACCUGUGAGCCAGUAGGCUUAGCUAUCCCACCCAGCCACAAACCUUCACCCUGGGGAGGCCACAGAGAGAACAGCGGGAGGCAGAGGCAUCCCCAUUUGAAACUACAACCAUUCUGAGAUUUUUGACCAAUGUGGUCUCUGAGCUGAAACCUCUCCCCAGUGGGAGCUCUGUGUAGGCAGAAGAGAGGCUCUGUCUGUCCUGAGAGGUGGGUUGUAUGGCUCCAGAUCACCCCAGCUGUGUGUGUUCUCUCCUGUCCUCUGAAUGCCAAGAGGUAAGGGUGUUCUGGUAUGUGAAUGCAUGAGACUGCACUGCUCAACAAUGCCAUGCCAGCCGUGCAGCGAACUAAGGCUCUGAAGAAUUUGCUAUGCAAAGGUUCUGGAAAGAUCCCUUUAAGGCAGAGCUUCUUAACCUCCCUAAUGUUGUGACCCUUAUAACACAGUUCUUCGCGUGGUGGUGACCCUCAACCAUAGUUAUUUUUGUUACUACUUCAUAACUGUAAUUUUGCUACUGUUGUGCAUCAGAAUGUAAAUAUUUGAUAUUCAGGAUAUCUGAUAUGUGGCCCUUAUGAAAUAGUCGUUCAACCUCCAAAGGGGACUCGACCCUCAGGGUUGAGAGGCACUGCUUUAAAGGCCUGCGGGAUCCUCUUCUACUCUCUCUCUCUCUCUCUCUCUCUCUGCCUGUGAUCUGUGAUGCACAUGUGAAGCUAGAGUUCUAGUAACCUUCAUGAACCAUGAAGACAGAGUAGGGAGAAGCCUUGGCAAAAACCAGUGCCUUGGAAAAGAGAGAGAGAGAGAAAAAGAACAACAUUUAACUACAUCAGAGUUGUUGAACUCUGUGUGAAAAAUGUAGCACAAAGGCAACAAACAAAAAAAAAAUUGGGAAGUAUUUGCAAAUCAGAGGACAAAAGGCACACACA